UGUUCAGUCCAACCCCCACUCUAUAAUUCUAAAAGUAGAAAAAAAGGAAUACGAAAGAGAGAUAGGAGCCUUU
rnacentral:tRNA from 1 species